AUUGAACGCUGGCGGCAGGCCUAACACAUGCAAGUCGAGCGGAUGAAGGGAGCUUGCUCCUGGAUUCAGCGGCGGACGGGUGAGUAAUGCCUAGGAAUCUGCCUGGUAGUGGGGGAUAACGUCCGGAAACGGGCGCUAAUACCGCAUACGUCCUGAGGGAGAAAGUGGGGGAUCUUCGGACCUCACGCUAUCAGAUGAGCCUAGGUCGGAUUAGCUAGUUGGUGGGGUAAAGGCCUACCAAGGCGACGAUCCGUAACUGGUCUGAGAGGAUGAUCAGUCACACUGGAACUGAGACACGGUCCAGACUCCUACGGGAGGCAGCAGUGGGGAAUGUUGGACAAUGGGCGAAAGCCUGAUCCAGCCAUGCCGCGUGUGUGAAGAAGGUCUUCGGAUUGUAAAGCACGUUAAGUUGGGAGGAAGGGCAGUAAGUUAAUACCUUGCUGUUUUGACGUUACCAACAGAAUAAGCACCGGCUAACUUCGUG
rnacentral:rRNA from 1 species